rnacentral:rRNA from 1 species
UACAGAGGUCCCAAGCGUUGUUCGGAUUCACUGGGCGUAAAGGGUGCGUAGGUGGCCAGGUAAGUUCGGUGUGAAAGCUCGGAGCUUAACUCCGAAAUGGCAUUGAAUACUAUCUGGCUAGAGGGUCGGAGGGGAGACUGGAAUUCUCGGUGUAGCAGUGAAAUGCGUAGAUAUCGAGAGGAACACCAGUGGCGAAGGCGAGUCUCUGGACGACACCUGACAGC